ensembl:rRNA 5S_rRNA 5S ribosomal RNA
UUCCACAGCUGUUUGUUCUGGCAGCCCCGAACACCAUAGCAGCCUGAAGCACCCCAGCCCAGAAGCUAAGCAGGGUCAGGCUUGACAGACUUGGAUGGGGGACCACUUGGGGAGACCAGGAGCUGGAGGCU